CGGAGUGUAGCGCAGCCUGGUAGCGCACAUCGUUCGGGACGAUGGGGUCGCAGGUUCGAAUCCUGCCACUCCGA
rnacentral:tRNA from 2 species